GGCCAGUUAGCUCAGUGGUUUGAGCACGGUGCUGACAACAACGUCAACACCGAGAUCGCGGGUUCGAUUCCCGCUCAGCCCC
rnacentral:tRNA from 1 species